rnacentral:rRNA from 1 species
GACGAACGCUGGCGGCGUGCCUAAUACAUGCAAGUUGAGCGCUGAAGGUUGGUACUUGUACCAACUGGAUGAGCAGCGAACGGGUGAGUAACGCGUGGGGAAUCUGCCUUUGAGCGGGGGACAACAUUUGGAAACGAAUGCUAAUACCGCAUAAAAACUUUAAACACAAGUUUUAAGUUUGAAAGAUGCAAUUGCAUCACUCAAAGAUGAUCCCGCGUUGUAUUAGGUAGUUGGUGAGGUAAAGGCUCACCAAGGCGAAGAUACAUAGUCGACCUGAGAGGGUGAACGGCCACAAUGGGACUUAGACACGGGCCAAACUUCUACGGGGGGGAGCAGUAGGGAAUCUUCGGGAAUGGAGGGAAGGCUGAACGAGCAACGCCGGGUGGGGGGAGAAGGUUUUCGGGUCGGAAAACUCUGUUGGUAGAGGAGGACGUGGGUGGGAGUGGAAAGCUCAGCAAGUGACGGUAACUACCCAGAAAGGGACGGCUAACUACGUG